GAACUGCCCCGCAGUAUCUAGCCAAGCUGAAGGCGAACAAGGCCAAUAACAUUGGCACUUCUUCAGGAGCCUGAAAAGUGGAGGAAGCUGAAACAAGGCGACAUGGAACUCAUCGUGGGUGAUGG